rnacentral:rRNA from 1 species
CCUACGGGUGGCAGCAGUGGGGAAUAUUGGACAAUGGGGGGAACCCUGAUCCAGCGACGCCGCGUGAGUGACGAAGUAUUUCGGUAUGUAAAGCUCUAUCAGCAGGGAAGAAAAUGACGGUACCUGACUAAGAAGCCCCGGCUCACUACGUGACAGCAGCCGCGGUAAAACGUCGGGGGCAAGCGUUAUCCGGAUUUACUGGGUGUAAAGGGAGCGUAGACGGUGCAGCAAGUCUGCUGUGAAAGGUCGGGGCCCAACCCCGGGACUGCAUUUGAAACUGUUGAACUGGAGUGCAGGAGAGGUAAGCGGAAUGCGUGGUGUAGCGGUGAAAUGCGUAGAUAUGAGGAGGAACACCAGUGGCGAAGGCAGCUUACUGGACUGUAACUGACGUUGAGGCUCGAAAGCGUGGGGAGCAAACAGGAUUAGAUACCCCAGUAGUC